ensembl:snRNA U6 U6 spliceosomal RNA
GUGCUCAUUUCAGCAGCACAUAUACUAAAAUUGGAACGAUACAGAGAUUAGCAUGGCCCCUGCUCAAGGAUGACAUGCAAAUUCAUGAAGCAUUCCAUUUAAAG